rnacentral:tRNA from 2 species
GGGCGAGUAGCUCAACGGGAGAGCACCCGGUUUACACCCGGGAGGCCGCAGGUUCAACCCCUGCCUCGCCCACCA